GGGGAAUCACAGUUAAGAGAUUUCCAUGAGUCUUACAGGAGACUUUGAGCUCUGGGCUUUCAAACAGCGUUGAGAUGCUUUUAAACUUGGACUCUUCCAUCAUCAGGAGUACUUCUGUGUCCCGAGCAAUUGACAUGUCAACUGGUGCUGUGUUCGCGUCUUGUUUCGGAGCCCAUACUGUUGAGAUUUCCUGGGUACAGCAUCCCUGCCAUCUCUACCGCAAGCGUCCUGAGCCUCUGGAUCUUCUGCCGUUCUGUGAUGUCCCCCCUGAAUCUUAAGUGUAGGAGUUAUAUGGACCCAACGGGAGCCAUCAAUUAGGACCACGCCGGUGCCUACAGCUGACCUGAACUGUGUGAAGACAGAGCUUCCAUGAAAUGCCCUGGAAUCACUUUGUUCCCAAGGAUCUUAAUUACAAGGAGUCCUCAUGGCAAAGGGAUUAAAUGGCUUCCGC
rnacentral:lncRNA from 1 species